rnacentral:rRNA from 1 species
GAUGAACGCUGGCGGCGUGCCUAACACAUGCAAGUCGAGCGAAGCGCUUAAAUUAGAUUUCUUCGGAAUGACGAUUUUUGUGACUGAGCGGCGGACGGGUGAGUAACGCGUGGGUAACCUGCCUCAUACAGGGGGAUAACAGUUAGAAAUGACUGCUAAUACCGCAUAAGACCCCAGCUUCGCAUGAAGCGGUGGUAAAAACUACGGUGGUAUGAGAUGGACCCGCGUCUGAUUAGCUAGUUGGUAAGGUAACGGCUUACCAAGGCGACGAUCAGUAGCCGACCUGAGAGGGUGACCGGCCACAUUGGGACUGAGACGCGGCCCAGACUCCUACGGGAGGCAGCAGUGGGGAAUAUUGCACAAUGGGGGAAACCCUGAUGCAGCGACGCCGCGUGAAGGAUGAAGUAUGUCGGUAUGUAAACUUCCAUCAGCAGGGAAGAAAGUGACGGUACCUGACUAAGAAGCCCCGGCUAACUACGUG